AAAGAUUCUUACAACUCCAUCAAUCAUAUCUUUUAUUUUCAUUAUAAAGUGAUCAAAUAGUUAGUUUCUUUAUGCAAACAAGAGAAAAUAUGUCUGAAAUGCUUAAAUUUGUUUAUGUUAUGAUCCUCUUGUUUUUCCUAUUUAUAGUUGUGUCCAAUGCAAAGGUGUGUUUAACUGUCACAAAUUGUGAAGAAGAUUUCUGUAACUAUCCUAAAUUUCCAAGGUGCAAAUGGUUUCGUUGUAUAUGCGUACCUGAUUCAUCAAUUUUAUAAAGUGAAGCUCUCUAGCUGGCUCAGUAAAACAUGAAGACGCAAAUUAAGGACUUUUGGCUUAAAUUGGUGGUUGAAAUAAUCUACUAAUUUAGUUUUGUAUUACUCAUUUUUAAAUAAUGCAUUUGUUCAAUGUUCAACACUUCAUCUAUGUGGAGUGCCUUUAUCCCUGUUUCAUUAUUAAACAAAGAGUCAAUGUUCACCAUUUUAUUAUAAAAGAAGUCCAAGCAUGUAUUUGUGUUUUCCA